rnacentral:rRNA from 1 species
ACGUGGACAACCUACCCUGUGGAGGGGGAUAACCCCGGAAAACUGGGGAUAAUACCCCAUAGGUUAGGGUGGCUGGAAUGCCCCCUAGCUCAAAGGUCCGCCGCCACAGGAUGGGUCUGCGGCCGAUUAGGUUGUUGUUGGGGUAACGGCCCAACAAGCCUUUGAUCGGUACGGGUUGUGGGAGCAAGAGCCCGGAGAUGGAUUCUGAGACACGAAUCCAGGCCCUACGGGGCGCAGCAGGCGCGAAAACUUUACAAUGCGAGAAAUCGUGAUAAGGGAACCCCGAGUGCCCGUAAAUUCGGGCUGUCCGCCAGUGCAAAAAACUGGUGAAGAAAGAGCCGGGCAAGACCGGU